ACAUGCAGUCGAGGGGCAGCAUGAUUUGUAGCAAUACAGAUUGAUGGCGACCGGCGCACGGGUGAGUAACGCGUAUGCAACUUACCUAUCAGAGGGGGAUAGCCCGGCGAAAGUCGGAUUAAUACCCCAUAAAACAGGGGUCCCGCAUGGGAAUAUUUGUUAAAGAUUCAUCGCUGAUAGAUAGGCAUGCGUUCCAUUAGGCAGUUGGCGGGGUAACGGCCCACCAAACCGACGAUGGAUAGGGGUUCUGAGAGGAAGGUCCCCCACAUUGGUACUGAGACACGGACCAAACUCCUACGGGAGGCAGCAGUGAGGAAUAUUGGUCAAUGGCCGAGAGGCUGAACCAGCCAAGUCGCGUGAAGGAAGAAGGAUCUAUGGUUUGUAAACUUCUUUUAUAGGGGAAUAAAGUGGAGGACGUGUCCUUUUUUGUAUGUACCCUAUGAAUAAGCAUCGGCUAACUCCGUGCCAGCAGCCGCGGUAAUACGGAGGAUGCGAGCGUUAUCCGGAUUUAUUGGGUUUAAAGGGUGCGUAGGUGGUGAUUUAAGUCAGCGGUGAAAGUUUGUGGCUCAACCAUAAAAUUGCCGUUGAAACUGGGUUACUUGAGUGUGUUUGAGGUAGGCGGAAUGCGUGGUGUAGCGGUGAAAUGCAUAGAUAUCACGCAGAACUCCGAUUGCGAAGGCAGCUUACUAAACCAUAACUGACACUGAAGCACGAAAGCGUGGGGAUCAAACAGGAUUAGAUACCCUGGUAGUCCACGCAGUAACGAUGAUUACUAGGAGUUUGCGAUACAAUGUAAGCUCUACAGCGAAAGCGUUAAGUAAUCCACCUGGGGAGUACGCCGGCACGGUGAAACUCAAGGAAUUUGACGG
rnacentral:rRNA from 1 species